CGACGACGACCAACACAGUGAAGUCGAGGGGCAUCGGGGCGUAGCAAUACGCUGCCGGCGACCGGCGGAUGGGUGAGUAACGCGUAUGCAACCUACCUUCAGCAGGGGGAUAGCCCGUUGAAAGACGGAUUAAUACCCCAUAACACAGGGGCUCCGCAUGGAGAUUAUUGUUAAAGGGAUGCUUCCUUCGGGGAGUAUCCGGCUGCAGAUGGGCAUGCGUUCCAUUAGGUAGUUGGUUGAGGUAACGGCUCACCAAGCCUACGAUGGAUAGGGGAACUGAGAGGUUGGUCCCCCACACUGGUACUGAGACACGGACCAGACUCCUACGGGAGGCAGCAGUGAGGAAUCUUGGUCAAUGGACGGAAGUCUGAACCAGCCAUGUCGCGUGAAGGAGGACGGCCCUAAGGGUUGUAAACUUCUUUUGCAGGGGAAUAAAGUAUUCUACGAGAUGGGAUAUUGCAAGUACGCUGCGAAUAAGGAUCGGCUAACUCCGUG
rnacentral:rRNA from 1 species